GCCAAGCAUUCAAGUGUGGCCAUGCAUGAAGAAGUACACAUACAGGAUGAGCUUACAAAAUAAGUAGGAUGCUACGGGGGAGAACUGCAAACUAAAAUUGAUGAAGAAUUCAAGGGAAAAAUUGCAGGGAACUUACUAGCUGGAACUUACUUAAUCUUCGUGGUGCUUGUGCACACUGCUGCAUGACAGGGCCUAUUUCACGCACGCCAAUCACCAGCGCUGUUUGAUCCCCUGUUUGGUACCCUGCUCAAUAUGUGUGGAAGUUGAUCGACGACCAGUUUUCCACGAUGGCGCGGGCAUUAUUAGCAUUACAAUGCCUGUGUACGAGAACGCCUGUGUGGCUACGUUGGCGGGUUUGUUCAAAUGCGACUUCACAGGAGGUGAGUUUAAAGCUGUAAUGGAGAGACGAGGAACACUCCUGUGAGACCGUUUUCUGGAUUGUUCCACAUCUGAGAUAUAUUCUGACACUUUAUUGUACUCAGCAAGGUAUGGAAACAGCUCACGUUAUACAAACACUGGAGGCCUAGCCUACCUCUGAUAACAUCCCAACAGUAAAUGGGUCGUAGAGUGGAAUGCCAGUUAGCUUUUGUGAUGGAAAUGAGACAUUUGCUGGAUUGUUUUCUAGAGCACAAGCCGCUGGUGAAUCGUUGCUUACAGGACGACCAGCUUCUUGGCAUUUCUUGAUGACGGCCACUGUUGUUAAGACUUUGAUCUCCUGUCUUGGCCUUCAGUUGGACCGAGAGAGAACACUAUUUCCUUGGCAUCAGAGGCUCCUUUGGUACUUUGGUACUGUGCAUCACUGGUUCAUGAACAACUAUGACAUGUUUCCCUAGUUUCAGUAGUUUGACAGAGAGACAAGAGCAAGCUGGUCCCUGGAGGCCGUUCUCUGGAGUGUAACAAAUCAGAGAAAUCUCAUCACUGGUGACACUACUCAACAGGCUGGCCUCUUCCAUACACCCCAAGGGUUCAACAGUGGCUGGGAAAUAUGAUUCAGAGCACAAGCCACUCAUGGUACAUCCAGUUUUUUGAUUAUGGAGUUCCUGUGCUCGUUGUUGAGGUGAUUGGUACUUUGAUCUCUUACUGUUGCCUUCUGGGUAAAAGCUGUAGCAUUGAUGAAGAGACAAGACCAGGUCCCUUGGAGACAGUUUUCUGGAGUUUAACACAUCACUGGCAACUGGCAUUACUGACAACACGACUCACUCGUACCACAAUUAUGGCCAAGAUUUGGACUCUAGCACCGUGCUUAUCUGUUCUACUAGUUAGUCUUCUGCUGCUGGUUGAACAGUGAUACGCUCCAUGCUGUGACAUGCUCAACCUCUCUCAUCAUUUUCUUAUCUUGUCUGUUCUGGAAUAGCAUGAAUAAAUUCAGGGUGCAGUAUCUGUUGUAUACGUGCACUGAGCCUUUUAUGGGCAAUAAAAGUAACAACAGCAUGAUUUUGAUUCCCUCAAGAUAACAGAACUGGUUAUUUGCAACUGUUGCAGUGACCGUUUGUCUUGUGUUGGCAGCAAAAGGUUUUGUUGAAAGGUUCCUACUUUGCAUGGUUUUUCUGUACCAUCUGGUGUACCUCAAGGAAGUGUCUUGAGCCCAGUCCAGUUCUUAUGUAUACAAACGACUUUCCUGAUCGCAUCGUGUCAGCUAGCACUUUAUUUGGCAACAGUGCUCUUGUGUAUAGGCCAAUAUAAUGUCAGUUUGAUGACCUUCAAGAUAUUCAUGACUUCCAAAGAUGUUGUCAUGCUAAUAAAAUGCAUCUCAAUACAUUACAAAGGAAACCAAAGUUUUGCUUAUACUAGGAUGGUCAAAGAAAAUAGUGGACCUGAAAUGUACCUUAGUUAACAUGCAGGUUGAAGCUGAUAAUGAGUACAAAAUUUCUCGGGAAAAUCUUGUUAUGCCACUACCAAAU